CUAGGGGCUAAAUUUGAAAGGUUGAAAAUUAGUAUUUUUGGAGGGUAAAAUGAUAUUAUAACUAAAAUAUUAAUUGUAGUUCAGGAAAUACUAUUGUGAGUGAAAUUUAUAAAUAUGACAAUUUUAAUAUUGUUGUUUGAAAAUUUGAGGAAUUUUCAAAAUUACAAAAGAGUAGUGAAAAAUAAUUUUUGAUACACAAUUACGCAAAAAUUUAUAUAAUUUUAAGCCUCAUUAUCCUUCUUUAUCAAUCAUUAUCUUUUUAUCCCACCUACUCCAACCAAUCAUUAUCCUUCUUUAUCAAUCAUUAUCUUCUUAUCCCACCUACUCCAACCCCACCUACUCCAACCAAUCAUUAUCCUUCUUUAUCAAUCAUUAUCUUCUUAUCCCACCUACUCCAACCAAUCAUUAUCCUUCUUUAUCAAUCAUUAUCUUCUUAUCCCACCUACUCCAACCAAACACUAUUUUUCAUUAUUCUAGACUAACUCCAACCUCCAACCAAACACAAAAAAACUUUAACCCCACUUUAACCCUGAACUUAACCCUAUACCUGGAAUAGCUACUUUUUUCUUAACCCCGAACCAAACGGAGGCUCAGGAAUUAGCCACUCCUUA
rnacentral:lncRNA from 1 species